AUUGAACGCUGGCGGCAUGCCUUACACAUGCAAGUCGAACGGCAGCACGGGAGCAAUCCUGGUGGCGAGUGGCGAACGGGUGAGUAAAGUAUCGGAACGUGCCCAGUCGUGGGGGAUAACGUAGCGAAAGUUACGCUAAUACCGCAUACGAUCUAUGGAUGAAAGCGGGGGAUCGGAAGACCUCGCGCGAUUGGAGCGGCAGAUAUCAGAUUAGGUAGUUGGUGGGGUAAAGGCUCACCAAGCCGACGAUCUGUAGCUGGUCUGAGAGGACGACCAGCCACACUGGGACUGAGACACGGCCCAGACUCCUACGGGAGGCAGCAGUGGGGAAUUUUGGACAAUGGGCGAAAGCCUGAUCCAGCCAUGCCGCGUGCAGGAUGAAGGCCUUCGGGUUGUAAACUGCUUUUGUACGGAACGAAAAGGUUUGGCCUAAUAAGCUGAGCUCAUGACGGUACCGUAAGAAUAAGCACCGGCUAACUACGUGCCAGCCGCCGCAGUAA
rnacentral:rRNA from 1 species